AGAGAGGCCUCGGGGGGAUUCUGGGGCCCGGUGAAGUUUGGGAACCAUGGGUCUACACCAUGAGGAGAAACCCUGGACCUGGCCUAAGAAGAGGCCCUCCCUCCUGUCUGACAAUGAGCCUUGAGAAGGCCAUGGGAAAAAAAAAAAAAAAAAAAGAGGCCACCAGAAACCCUAUUGCCGAGGUCCUGGCAAGGAAGAAAAGGACAGAAGAGUAAAUUUCCCUACAAGAACACGGGUCUAGGAAACAGAAAAUAAAGGAAGCUUCCAUUUCAUGGGCAGAGACAUCUCCACAAAUAGGCUGAGCCCAUGUCCCCAGAGCUCUGAGUAAUUAAAUUUUGAGAAAAGUG
rnacentral:antisense_RNA from 1 species